rnacentral:tRNA from 3 species
GCCGAGGUGGCGGAAUUGGUAGACGCGCUGGACUCAAAAUCCAGUGUUAGAGAUAACGUGCGGGUUCGAUUCCCGCCCUCGGCACCA